rnacentral:lncRNA from 1 species
AAAAUUAAUAGGAAAAUUCCCUCCUCCCUGCUAAAAAGAAGUUCUCCUUUCCCCAAUAUUCAGAUGUGUGGACUCUAAAGCCAGGACCAUUCCAUGUUCAGAAGACAAAAAAGAAUAAAUCAAUGUGAAGAGAAAGACCCCUGGUGCUUACAUGCUAUCUAACCACUGAAACUCAGAACCUAAAACAUCACUCCACAUUGCUAUGUGUUACUAGGUUUUAUUCUGAAACAUUAAAGAUAUAAUCCGGGAUGCUUGGGUGGCUUAGUGGUUGAGUGUUUGCCUUUGGCUCAGGUCAUAGUCCUGGGGCCCUGGGAUUGAGUCCUGCAUUGGGCUCCCCAGAUGGAGCCUGCUUCUCCCUCUGCCUAUGUGUCUGCGUCUCUCUGUGUGUCUCUCAUGAAUAGGUAAAAAUAAAAUCUUUAAAAAAAGGAUAUAAUUUGCAUUAGAAAACACUUUCCAUAUAAUAUCCAUAUAAUGUUACAGAAAUUGGUAAAAUGUGUGCAGUUCUUCAGGCUCACCUGAAAUUGUUAACAAACUGGCCCCCAAACUCCCAUUGUUCAACACUUUGGAACAGAAUAGCCUUAGGCCACCGAGAAUUCAGAGCAGAGAACAUAUAAUUCCUCCUCCCCCAACAGAACAAGUGAUACAAUGCCAACGCCGAUAAAACCCCUGGAACCAGGGCACCAUCACAAAUGAGCCAUCACAGGUAGAUUCUAACCCAUGUGGGCAGGCAGAGACAUACAGCCAGUAACAGUAGCUACUGUGAAACAUCAAAAUUUUCCUCCACCACUUUUAACCAGGAAAUAGCUCUUGAUUAACAAGUGAGCCCUGAUAGAAGUAGAACAUCUGACCAUGGGAGCCAAGCUGCCAUUGAUGGCUGAUAUGUCUUUCCCUGACCCAUCAAUUGACCAACCAACAAGAUUCCAUCUUCAAGGAAGAAUACGAAGACUGGGUCUGAGCAGAUUGCCAUAUAGAGGAAAAGUUUCGGACUUGGAUGCAGUUGUUGAUGGAAACAUUUUGUGCUCCUCUUUAGGAAGAAGAGUGGAACAAAGGAAGUUACCUCAGCAUUUUAGUGAUUACACUGUGAGUCCUGGUGCUCCAUAA